rnacentral:rRNA from 1 species
AUACGUAGGUGGCAAGCGUUAUCCGGAAUUAUUGGGCGUAAAGAGUGAGCAGGCGGUUGAUUAGGUCUGAGGUUAAAGCGUGGGGCUCAACCCCAUAAAGCCUUGGAAACUGAUUGACUAGAGUACGGGAGAAGUGAAGGGAACUCCAUGUGUAGCGGUGAAAUGCGUAGAUAUAUGGAAGAACACCAGUGGCGAAGGCGCUUCACUAGCCCGAAACUGACGCUCAGUCACGAAAGCGUGGGUAGCAAAUAGGAUUAGAUACCCUAGUAGUCCACGCUGUAAACGAUGACAACUAAAUAUUGCCGCGAGGCAGUGUUGAAGCUAACGCAUUAAGUUGUCCGCCUGGGGAGUACGGUCGCAAGAUUGAAACUUAAAGGAAUUGACGGGG